rnacentral:tRNA from 1 species
AGGGGUGUAGCUCAGUGGUGGAGUGCUGCCUGGCGUGCAUGAGGUCCUGGGUUCAUUCCCCAGUAUCUCCA